AUUGAACGCUGGCGUCAGGCUUAACACAUGCAAGUCGAGCGAGCGGCGGACGGGUGAGUAAUUUCUUGGAAACUGCCUGAUCGAGGGGGAUCACUGCUGGAACCGGUAGCUAAUACUGCAUCCCAUCAGAUGUGCCCAGAUGGGAUUAGCUAGGAGGUGUGGUAAUGGUUCACCUAGGCGACGAUCCCUAGCUGGUCUGCGAGGAUGACCAGCCACACUGGAACUGAGACACGGUCCAGACUCCUACGGGAGGCAGCAGUGGGGAAUAUUGGACAAUGGGCGAAAGUCUGAUGCAGCCAUGCCGCGUGUGUGAAGAAGGCCUUCGGAUUGUAAAGCACUUUCGGCGAGGAAGCGUUACUCGCAGAAGAAGCACCGGCUAACUCCGUGCCAGCCGCCGCGGUAAUUC
rnacentral:rRNA from 1 species